GUCAGUUGAUAUUUGAUCCAGGUCUGGUCAGUUGAUAUUUGAUCCAGGUCUGGUCAGUUGAUAUUUGAUCCAGGUCUGGUCAGUAGUCAGUUGAUAUUUGAUCCAGGUCUGGUCAGUAGUCAGUUGAUAUUUGAUCCAGGUCUGGUCAGUUGAUAUUUGAUCCAGGUCUGGUCAGUUGAUAUUUGAUCCAGGUCUGGUCAGUAGUCAGUUGAUAUUUGAUCCAGGUCUGGUCAGUAGAUAUUUGAUCCAGGUCUGGUCAGAUGAUAUUUGAUCCAGGUCUGGUCAGUUGAUAUCUGAUCCAGGUCUGGUCAGUAGUCAGUUGAUAUUUGAUCCAGGUCUGGUCAGUAGUCAGUUGAUAUUUGAUCCAGGUCUGGUCAGUUGAUAUUUGAUCCAGGUCUGGUCAGUUGAUAUUUGAUCCAGGUCUGGUCAGUAGAUAUUUGAUCCAGGUCUGGUCAGUAGAUAUUUGAUCCAGGUCUGGUCAGAUGAUAUUUGAUCCAGGUCUGGUCAGUUGAUAUUUGAUCCAGGUCUGGUCAGUUGAUAUUUGAUCCAGGUCUGGUCAGUAGUCAGUUGAUAUCUGAUCCAGGUCUGGUCAGUCAGUUGAUAUUUGAUCCAGGUCUGGUCAGUAGUCAGUUGAUAUUUGAUCCAGGUCUGGUCAGUUGAUAUUUGAUCCAUGUCUGGUCAGUUGAUAUUUGAUCCAGGUCUGGUCAGUAGAUAUUUGAUCCAGGUCUGGCCAGUAGUCAGUUGAUAUUUGAUCCAGGCCUGGUCAGUUGAUAUUUGAUCCAGGUCUGGUCAGUAGUCAGUUGAUAUUUGAUCCAGGCCUGGUCAGUUGAUAUUUGAUCCAGGUCUGGUCAGUAGUCAGUUGAUAUUUGAUCCAGGUCUGGUCAGUAGUCAGUUGAUAUUUGAUCCAGGUCUGGUCAGUUGAUAUUUGAUCCAGGUCUGGUCAGUAGUCAGUUGAUAUUUGAUCCAGGUCUGGUCAGUUGAUAUUUAAUCCAGGUCUGGUCAGUAGUCAGUUGAUAUUUGAUCCAGGUCUGGUCAGUUGAUAUUUGAUCCAGGUCUGUUCAGUUGAUAUUUGAUCCAGGUCUGGUCAGUAGUCAGUUGAUAUUUGAUCCAGGUCUGGUCUGUUGAUAUUUGAUCCAGGUCUGGUCAGUUGAUAUUUGAUCCAGGUCUGGUCAGUUGAUAUUUGAUCCAGGUCUGGUUAGUAGUCAGUUGAUAUUUAAUCAAGGUCUGGUCAGUGGUCAGUUGAUAUUUGAUCCAGGUCUGGUCAGUUGAUAUUUAAUCCAGGUCUGGUCAGUGGUCGGUCGGUCAGUAAUGUAACAGUGAAGACAUAUCUAACAGUAAAAGUCUUGGACAGUACAGGAGGAGUGUGUUGUUUGGAAAAAGGACUUCCCAGAACGUCUGUGAUUGUUCUUGUCUCGAAGAACAGAGUGGAGAGGGAGAGAGUGUAGGCAUGUGUUUGGUAAUUUCUACUCUUCGUUUUGUUCUACUUCCUGUAUCACACGGGAACAGCCAAUCAGUUCAUGCGUUGCAGUAACGAUGAUGACUAGUGAAUAGUCUAGAAUCUUCCUCUGUGUUUGGGCUGGUGAUGAUGACGACGCCCAGGAGAGAUGCAGCCCAACCUGAAUACGUGUUAGUGUGAGACUGAGCGUUGUGCCACGACAACAACCUCCACUGUGUUCCUGUGGAUUAAGGACAUCAAGGUAUUAAUGCUUAGACUUGACGCAUGGUUUCAUGGGGAAUCCAUUACCUACGAAGCUAUGACAAAGUGUGUGUGUCUCACACACACACACUCACACACACACACACACACACUUUGACACAACUACCCUUUUGACACACAUCCCUCAGCAAAUUCAGGUCCUUUAAUUUUAGUGUUUUGUGAGUUUUAUUGCUGAAAGAAUGCAACUGUUAUUGUCAUGUUAUUUCCACAUCACUGAUAUACACCCAGCCCAAAGAAUGUAACGGUGGAAGAGACUUAAUGUAUGUAUGUAUCUUGUUUGACUGUGUCCCAAAUGACACCCUAUUUCCUAUAUAGUGCACUACGUUUUGUCCAGAGCUGGUCUAAAGUAGCGCGCUAUGUGUAUGAAACAGGGUGGCACGUAGCCAUUCUGCUGUAGAAGAGAAACGGGCUUGUGUAAUGAAGUGGUUCAAUCAUGUCCCAUUCAAUGGUAUGAGAAUCGAGUUCCGAAAUUCUACGUUCUGAUUCUAUGAUUCCGUUGUUCCGAUGUUACUGUAACAAGCAGCUCUGUUUGGACUAUUCUGAAUGUUGGACCUGAACCGUGUUUCUUUACCAUUGACAGACUGAAACCCAACUGUUAUUUCACCAAUACACACCGUGGUGGUUUCUAGAACUAACUGUUAUUUCACCAAUA